rnacentral:lncRNA from 1 species
AAGGUGUACAGGAAAUACAGCAGAGGUUAUUUUUUACACUGUCCAUAUAUAUAUAGGACCACCCCUGGGACAACGUAAUGGGACUGUCUAAUUUGCAUCUGCACUUGCUAAUCAUUGCAUUCUUUAUCAGCAGUGUUGACAACAUGCAUUUACAGCAUGCCUCGUGGAAAACAACUCACAGAAGAAGAAGUUCGAGAAGUCUGGUACUUUUCCGUUGUGAUCAUCCUGCAUGGUGCAGGAACAUCACAAUGGAAAAUUGCUGCAAAAAUUGGGUGAUCCAAGCAUGCAGUUCAACUCCUGAUUAAACGUGGGAUAUCUGGAAUAAUAAAACGUCCUGGACAAAAACAAAGCCUCUCUGCAAAAGCCAGAAGAUGAAUCAUCCACAUGACUGUCUCACAAAAGAUGUCUGCAGC